rnacentral:rRNA from 1 species
GAACGUUAGCGGCAGGCCUAACACAUGCAAGUCGAGCGAGAAAGCGGGGUUCGCCCCGCCUGUAAAGCGGCGCACGGGUGAGUAACGCGUGGAUAAUCUGCCCUUCGAUGGGGGACAACAGCCCGAAAGGGUUGCUAAUACCGCAUACGUCGGCGAGGCCUGAGGGUCAUGCCGGGAAAGUCGCCGCAAGGUGGCGUCGAUGGAGGAGUCCGCGUCCCAUCAGCUAGUUGGUAGGGUAAUGGCCUACCAAGGCGACGAUCAGUAG